rnacentral:rRNA from 1 species
AUUGAACGCUGGCGGCAGGCCUAACACAUGCAAGUCGAGCGAGCGGCGGACGGGUGAGUAAUGUCUGGGGAUCUGCCUGAUAGAGGGGGAUAACUACUGGAAACGGUGGCUAAUACCGCAUACUAUCGGAUGUACCCAUAUGGGAUUAGCUAGUAGGUGGGGUAAAGGCUCACCUAGGCGACGAGCUCUAGCUGGUCUGAGAGGAUGAUCGGCCACCCUGGAACUGAGACACGGGCCAGACUCCUACGGGAGGCAGCAGUGGGGAAUAUUGCACAAUGGGCGCAAGCCUGAUGCAGCCAUGCCGCGUGUAUGAAGAAGGCCUUAGGGUUGUAAAGCACUUUCAGCGAGGAGGCGUUACCCGCAGAAGAAGCACCGGCUAACUCCGUGCCAGCAGCCGCGGUAAUUC